ACUAAAGCUAGAAUAGAACAGUAGUUUAGAUUCAAUUUUUUAGCGAGCUAGUGAUGGUGAGAGACUAGUAAACCCUGUAUCUAAAGUAAUCAUCUAUUUGUUUUGCUUCAGAAUAAAGUAAGAAGCAACGAGUGAUUUCGUUAUCAAUCAUGAAAGCAAAUAGGUGUGUCUAUUUGGAAAUUUGGGUGGUACCACGAUUGAUUCGUCCCUUCA
rnacentral:ncRNA from 1 species